CUUGAUCCAUGUCGUUGGUUAUAUUGAUAUACGUGAUCUAUGUUGGUUCUAGUUACGCAAGAGUAACUAAGAGGUCUUUGGUCCUAUGUUGGUAUGAUUGAUGGACCGGAUUGUUCACGACAAUUUAUUGUGAUAGCAAUUUUGAGCUCAUAAGGUUAUAAUGUAACAUAUAAUGCUACGGUUUGUGCAUAUGUAUGUGUAUCUCGUCCAAGUGGGAGAUUGUAAGAUAUAUGGACUUAUAUGUACAUACAUAUGAACAAUAUAUGGAUAAAUUAUAUGUUAUGUGCUAUCUUUUGGUUUGGCCUAAUUUUGUGGUCUUAUGGACAUUAUGUUAAGGNNNN
rnacentral:lncRNA from 1 species